rnacentral:antisense_RNA from 18 species
UGUAAUAAAGUUGCCAUUGCUAUUUUCCUUCUGAUAACACAUACAGAAACAGUGUAAAUCUUUUAACGCGUUGAAUACAGAAGAUAAAUAGAGGAAAAAGAAGAGGAGACCAGACUAAGAUAAUCUGGUGCGUCCGAGUGGACUCGAACCACCGACCCCCACCA